rnacentral:rRNA from 1 species
AUUCCAGCUCCAAUAGCGUAUAUUAAAGUUGUUGCGGUUAAAAAGCUCGUAGUUGGAUUUCUGUUGAGGAAGUCCGGUCCGCACUUUGUGCGUGAUCUGGUUCUGCCUCGGCAUCCUCGCGGGGAACGCGCUGCGCUUGAUUGCGUGGUGCGGUAUUCGCGACUUUUACUUUGAGGAAAUUAGAGUGUUCACGGCAGGCUAUCGCCUUGAAUACGUUAGCAUGGAAUAAUAAUAUAGGACCUUGGUUCUAUUUUGUUGGUUUCUAGAACUAAGGUAAUGAUUAAUAGGGAUAAUUGGGGGCAUUUGUAUUAACACGUCAGAGGUGAAAUUCUUGGAUUGUGUACGACAAACUACUGCGAAAGCAUUUGCCAAGGAUGUUUUCAUCA